GCCAGCUUCCUAGUGAUUGGUUAGAUCGGGGGAAGGGGCGGGGAAAGAUUGAGAGGUGAGGUGAUUGGUAGAACGCUGAGCGGUUGAUGGACUCGCGCUCGCAGAGCCCUUAAAAGGCGCGAGGCGCAGGUCGCUUGGCGGUUGCUCGCUGCGGUUGUUACCUUGCGUGAAGUUUUUUUCUUUUUAGCCCUUUGCUAUAUUGGUGUCAGUCUAAGUUUGAGGGUGUAGGUUGUGACUUAGUAUCAUCUAUGGAUGAAGGCCUGUGGGAAGACUGGAACGCAGUAAUUCAAAAUACGCAUUUUUAAAAAAAAGUGUGCGCCACCUCAGUUGUCUCAACCCUGGGAUAAGCAGAUCCGACACACCUGACGGGGAAAAAUAGCGCAAGUCAACACAUCUUUAACUCUCCACACCUUCGUGGCUAAUUCAGUAGUCGAGCUCAAACACCUGCCCUUAGCUGGGAACUCUCUAGAAACGUCCUUCCAGAGGGGAUUUAAGACGGCUGAGUUCACAGGCUGGUCUCUCUGGUAAAGGGAGACUGGUGUAUUUUCCACAAAUGGUUUACUGGCAACCCCUUUCUUCAGUUGUGUUGGCGAAGGGCCCUUGACGUGGCACCAAUGUUGGGGUGCAGGAAGGGACGGCAGCCUGGGAGGCGUGGGUCAUGCAGAAAGAAGGUGAGCCAGACCUGAGAAACGAGGAUGCCGUGGGCGCUUUCCAGACGCGGAGACCAGUGUCAUGAGAGAAGACCUGAUGGGUUCAGCGAAUUACCAUCUCGUGAGUGAGGAGCUCAUGCUGAAGCCGUAGACUGGGCAGGAAAGGCCAACUUUCCUUUGAUUUUGAUGGAAGAAAGACUAGCUACCUAAGUCUUGAAAUUCAAGCGAGUCAACCAAAACAGAAACAUCAAAGGAGUAUCGAAUGCGUCCCUGAACUCAAAAGGGUUCCCAUCGCAGAACCUCUGAAGCUUGGGAGGGCUCUCACCAUUCAACCGUGAAGGAGGUAGCCCAGAAGAAAAGAAAACCAGCUACAGUAGUUAAGAGGAGAGAGGAGCAGCCAGACAAACCAGUGGAAAGCUUUAGAGGCAGCUCUUGGCUGGAGAAGGAAAGAAAGGCCUCAUCUCCGUGUGCUGUGCAGGGGUCUUCCCUGGACUCGGCAGAGCCAGGCUUGGUUCCUAAGUCCCCUUCGUUGGGUGGACGUCAACAAGAGCAGGGUCAAAGAGGAAGCCUACAGGAUGGGCUGGACAUUGAAAAAAAAAAAAAUGGUGAUGUGCCCAGAUAAACUAUUUCCAGAAGAGGCCAGCUUGAAUUUAUCAUGUGUAAGACAAUUUGGCUAUGAACUUCUUUCCAAGAGAAUUGCAGUUUUUAAGAUUAAUAAAGCAUAAAAUUAGCCAGCUGGAAGUCGUUCAACAAAAUUUCUCCCUUAGUUAUAUACUAAACAGUGAAAAUAAACAGGAGAAUUUGGGGAA